GGUCCGUGUUUCAAGACGGGUGGCUUAAGAUCAUUAUGCCAACAUCCUUGUCAAAGACGCGGUCCUCAGUCUAGGCUGGCAGUAUCAACCAAGGCUAUAACACUUCCCCGAAGGCAAGUCACAUUCCUCAGUCAUUAUCCUACCGCCCAAACUGAUGCUGGCCCAGUAAACUGCAAGGGGCCCCCUCCACGAGAGAGAAGGUUUGCAAAAUACCAUGUCUGAUCUCAAGCCCUUCCCUUUCAACAAUUUCACGUACUUUUUCACUCUCUUUUCAAAGUUCUUUUCAUCUUUCCAUCACUGUACUUGUUCGCUAUCGGUCUCUCGCCAAUAUUUAGCUUUAGAUGGAAUUUACCACCCACUUAGAGCUGCAUUCCCAAACAACUCGACUCUUCGAAAGCACUUUACAAAGAACUGGGAAGCUUAUCUCACGGGAUUCUCACCCUCUGUGACGUCCUGUUCCAAGGAACUUAGACAAACUCCAGCCCCAAAGUAGCCUUCUUCAAAUUACAACUCGGACGCCGAAGACGCCAGAUUUCAAAUUUGAGCUUUUGCCGCUUCACUCGCCGUUACUAAGGCAAUCCCUGUUGGUUUCUUUUCCUCCGCUUAUUGAUAU
rnacentral:rRNA from 1 species